rnacentral:rRNA from 1 species
GAUGAACGCUGGCGGCGUGCCUAAUACAUGCAAGUCGAGCGAACAGAUGAGGAGCUUGCUCCUCUGACGUUAGCGGCGGACGGGUGAGUAACACGUGGAUAACCUACCUAUAAGACUGGGAUAACUUCGGGAAACCGGCGCUAAUACCGGAUAAUAUAUUGAACCGCAUGGUUCAAUAGUGAAAGACGGUUUUGCUGUCUCUUAUAGAUGGAUCCGCGCCGCAUUAGCUAGUUGUUACGUUAACGGCCUACCACGGCAACGAUGCGUAGCCGACCUGAGAGGGUGAUCGGCCACCCGGGAACUGAGACACGGACCAGACGCCUGAGGGAGGCAGCAGAAGGGAAUCGUCCGCAAUAGGCGAGAGCCUGACGGAACGACGCCGCGUGAGUGAUAAAGAUCUUCGGUUCGUGAAACUCUGUUACUAGGGAUGAACAAAUGUGUAAGUAACUAUGCACGUCUUGACGGUACCUAAUCAGAAAGCCACGGCUAACUACGUG